CUCCUGACCUCCUGAAUGGUUUUAAAAACUUUGCUCAAAAUAAGUGACACUUAUUAGAAAGUGAGGAAAUGGAAAAAGAUUAAGUGUACUCAGUAGGACUGGAUAUCUAUCUGAUAGAACAUUUUCCUCCAGGACUCCAAAUAGAGUGGUCAAAUGAAGGUUUAACACUGAUCUCCAGGCUGAAACUGUUACACACAUAAACCACAACCUGAAUCAUCUCAUCCUGUUUCUGCAACCAAGGAAGUCAUCAUUCAUUGUGACAUCACGUUCGGGGACCAGGCAAAUAGAGUGAAAUCUCAGGAGGAUGCUUACCAGGAAUCAGGAAACUGGAAAAACAAUGGCCUGCUAGGACAGGUCUCCAAGCCCGAGAGGAUCACAGUUCACGGGGCUCAUCCAUCCAUCUGAGGACCACUACCAGAUAAAAAUCCUGCAAUUAUAUUUAGUGGCACUGUGUAAGACAAACUGCAAAACAUAAUACGUGCUCAGAACAAGACUACUCUCCUUCAGACUGGCCCUGCGGCCCUCAGCCAGUUCAGAAGAUGUGUUGGUACUAGCCAAAAUGGGGAGUGAAGGUGAUCACUGAAAGGACCACAAUCAUGCCUCAGCCUCCUAGCAGCCAUCUUGCUCUAUAUAGGGACCCAUGAGCACAGAGAACCAGCCUUUUAAAAAUGAAAACAUACUUAUGUCCUGGAAAAGCUACGUGGUGCUGGGUAAAGUUUAAUUUAAAGUAAAAGCUGCAUUAAUACACCCAAAUUUUAAAGUGUAUGCUUUGAGGGAAAAUUUAAUGAAAUUUAAACGUCAGCAGAAAUAGCAAGCUUCCGCUGGACACUUGUGUGGGCAUCAGCUUUUCUCUUCAAGUAUGGCCUGUCUUUUGCAGGAAGAUAGCUAUACUGAAGGAUAUUAAAGGGAUGGAGAAAAUUCAUACAGUCCCUCAACCUCAAUCCCUUAUCCUCCUUCAUCCUGGCUACCGACUCAAAUACCACUAACGCCACAAAGUACAUAAAAAGGUACAAGGACUGCUGGUUUUUUCAUGCAAAGCCUUAGAGUGUUAACCAGGAAAUGGAUGAAGUGCCAGGCCAUUACAAAUGCCCCAUUGAGAAACCUAGCUAGUUGCGUCACUUCCACAGGCAAACAAUCUUUUUAAACUGGCUGACUGUGUCCCCAAGUUUUAUCGCCUUCUAUGUAGAGCUGGUUAGUGGCAUCUUCCCAGUAAAGGACACCUGGAUACGAGUGUUAUUACUUAGUACAGGGGAAAAAGGAAGGACGGAGAGUAGAGCACUAACAUUUAUACCAGUCGUUUGCCUCUGCUAACUUUUCUACAAGCUGAGCCUCAGUGCCAAGGGCCUGAUCUAUCACUAGCCUGGUUUGGCUAUUCUUGCAAUUCUGGCUUCUCUGCAAAGAAAGAUGGGCUGGGGUGCAAACAUUUUAAAAAGGGGCUUCAUUCAUUCACCUCAUGAUAGAUGCUAGAGCCCACAUGUUUUGAAAAAGGGACAAAAUUCUGGCCUCAACAGUAACUUUCUAACACUCUUGGGAACAUUCCAUUGGAAGGAAGAACCAACAACUGUCAACUCUGUAUUCUGGAAGAGUCUCAGAGGUAUGGAAAACUGGGUACUAUUCUAUUGCCAAAUUUUAGCAGACUAUCAAGAAAAAGGAAAUAGCCAGGUGACACACUUCUUGCAGACAUAGCUCAGGAAUCUGGGCCAGUUUACUGUUUAUAUAUAUUGGACUUAAAAUUCUAUAAAGGCUCAGAAAACAAAAAAUACUAACAAUGUAUUUAAAACUCAAUAAAAUCAAGAUAG